rnacentral:lncRNA from 1 species
CUAGUAUACUCUUAUUAAUAGUAUAAAAAUAAGGAUACCUUUUACCCAACAAUAGUUAGGUAUUCCUCACCUAGAAAUUUACAAUAAUUUCAUUACUUUACUAACACCUUUUACAACUGUCGAGCUUAAGUUGAAAGAUAAUAGUUUAUAUAUUUUUAAUAGAAUAUAUAAAAGGCUAUCGGAAUAUUACAUAAAGUGGACCAAAUAGACCUUUAGUGUAGUUAACAAAUACAGUAUGAUUACCGACCGUUCCCAGCGCAAGUGGCAAAAGGCUUGAUGGUUGGUACCCGAGGUUCCAAGUUCGAAUUCUAGUUGAUUCAUAUUUCUAGCUAAGUUUAUUUUUAAAUAAAAUAAACGAAGCGGGUAGCAUGCUACCUAUCUCUCAAACAAAAAAAAUAGUUAAUUCGUAACAACAAUAUCAAGAAUAGUGUGAUGGUGGCUGUGGUGGCAAUGAAACAACAAUGGUGCACUAACAACAACAGCCAUAGCCACGACAAGGAUUAGAUGAUGCAUAGCGCAAUAACCUGUGCGAUGCAACGGAAAAUAAUUGAAGAAAACAUAGAAAACUUUGAUAAAAAAAGUGAUGAUGAGGGUGGGAUUCAUCUUGCCGAUAAACAAAAAUAACAGCCAAAGGAAGAGAAAGAUGAAGGACUUGAGCUUGUUCGGGGUGGAGUCCACUCUCAACCAUGAAAGAAAAUUUGUCAUGUGGCAAUUUUAAGAGAAAUAAUGUAGACGAAGAGAUGAGGAAGGGAAAUUAAGGAAGAGAGAAAAAAAAUGGUAUGAUAAUUAUAAGGAUUGCUUUGUUGUAUGUAGUUGCAACUAUAUUGCAAGUUGUAGUUAAAUCAAAUGCGUUUGAAUUAACUACUACGGUUGGAACUACAUGAUGAGGUUCAAGUGCAAAAGUUAAAACUACGUCCAAAUUUGCUGCAAUUCUAGUUGCAGUAGUUGGUAAUAGGAAAUCUUACCUCCAUAAUCACUUUUUAAACAAAUAUAUAUAUAUAUAUAUAUAUAUAUAUAUAUAUAUAUAUAUAUAUAUAUAUAUAUAUAUAUAUGAGAGAGAGAGAGAGAGAGAGAGAGAGAG